rnacentral:rRNA from 1 species
GACGAACGCUGGCGGCGUGCUUAACACAUGCAAGUCGAACGGAAAGGCCCCUUUGGGGGUACUCGAGUGGCGAACGGGUGAGUAACACGUGAGUAACCUGCCCUUGACUUCGGGAUAACUUCAGGAAACUGGGGCUAAUACCGGAUAGGAAUCCUUGCUGCAUGGUGGGGGUUGGAAAGCUUCGGCGGUUUUGGAUGGACUCGCGGCUUAUCAGCUUGUUGGUGGGGUAGUGGCUUACCAAGGCUUUGACGGGUAGCCGGCCUGAGAGGGCGACCGGCCACAGUGGGACUGAGAUACGGCCCAGACUCCUACGGGAGGCAGAAGUGGGGAAUAUUGCACAAGGGGCGGAAGCCUGAUGCAGCAACGCCGCGUGCGGGAUGACGGCCUUCGGGUUGUAAACCGCUUUCAGCAGGGGCGAAGCUUGUGGUGACGGUACCUGCAGAAGAAGCACCGGCUAACUACGUG